GUUACAUAGUUACAUAGUUACAUAGUUACAUAGCUGAAAAGAGACUUGCGUCCAUCAAGUUCAGCCUUCCUCAGAAAUGUUGUUGCUGUUGAUCCAAAAGAAGGCAAAAAACCUGGUCUGAAGCACUUCCAAUUUUGCCACAAACUAGAAAAAAAUUCCUUCUUGACCCCAAAAUAGCAGUCAGAUGUCUCCUUGGAUCAAUCAGCUAUUACCC